rnacentral:lncRNA from 1 species
UCCGUCUUCUUAUCACUCGACCACAAGGUCCUAGACUAUAUAUAUAUAUAUAUCUAACUGCAUCGUUUUGUAACCGCUACGACAAUUCUUACUGCGCGGCUAUGAAAUUUGUUCAUCAAUCAAAUCUUCAAUUUAUAUCCAAAGUAUUUUAGUAAAAAAAAAGCUAGUAAAUAUUCCAAAUAAACCAUGUAAGAAACAAUCUGUGCAUGGUAGAUCAAAAGUCUUAGUUAGGCUUUUUGAGAGCUGCAUUCGUAGUCAUUGACUCAUUGAAUGAGCGAAACGAUUUCUAACAGCGAGUAUCUUCUCUCUCUCUC